rnacentral:rRNA from 1 species
UACGUAGGGGGCAAGCGUUGUCCGGAAUCAUUGGGCGUAAAGCGCGUGUAGGCGGCCAGGUAGGUCCGUUGUGAAAACUCGAGGCUCAACCUCGAGACGUCGAUGGAAACCAUCUGGCUAGAGUCCGGAAGAGGAGAGUGGAAUUCCUGGUGUAGCGGUGAAAUGCGCAGAUAUCAGGAAGAACACCCGUGGCGAAGGCGGCUCUCUGGUACGUGACUGACGCUGAGACGCGAAAGCGUGGGGAGCAAACAGG